GCCCCUGCCCGCCUACGGGAGGCAGCAGUGGGGAAUAUUGGACAAUGGGCGCAAGCCUGAUCCAGCCAUACCGCGUGGGUGAAGAAGGCCUUCGGGUUGUAAAGCCCUUUUGUUGGGAAAGAAAUCCAGCCGGCUAAUACCUGGUUGGGAUGACGGUACCCAAAGAAUAAGCACCGGCUAACUUCGUGCCAGCAGCCGCGGUAAUACGAAGGGUGCAAGCGUUACUCGGAAUUACUGGGCGUAAAGCGUGCGUAGGUGGUUAUUUAAGUCCGUUGUGAAAGCCCUGGGCUCAACCUGGGAACUGCAGUGGAUACUGGAUGACUAGAGUGUGGUAGAGGGUAGCGGAAUUCCUGGUGUAGCAGUGAAAUGCGUAGAGAUCAGGAGGAACAUCCAUGGCGAAGGCAGCUACCUGGACCAACACUGACACUGAGGCACGAAAGCGUGGGGAGCAAACAGGAUUAGAUACCCUGGUAGUCCACGCCCUAAACGAUGCGAACUGGAUGUUGGGUGCAAUUUGGCACGCAGUAUCGAAGCUAACGC
rnacentral:rRNA from 1 species